rnacentral:lncRNA from 10 species
GCGUAGGGAAGAAGGAAAGUGGGGUGGAGUGAGCGAAGAGGGGACAAGGGACUGGGUGUGGAGAGAAAACGGAGCUGAGUGGGGAGGAGAAGAAAAGGGAGAGAAGCUGAGAGGGGUGAGCAGGAGGAGGGAGGGCGGGGCGCCUCCCAGCAGUCGGGCGCAGGCCUAGGGUCCUCCCCUCCCCCAGAGGCCAACGUCCCUGGGGCGUGAUUAGCAGCUCCUUGGGGAAGAGGACGGAGCCUGAGCUCCGGGCGCGGAGGUCUGGGCGGGGCGACCCGCGGCGCUGCUCGUGGCCGCGGCGAUGGCGCGGGGACCGGGGAGGUUUGUCCAGGAGGACGCUGGUCACACCGCGUUUCUGAAGCUUUCGAUUCCUCUUCGGCUCUGCUCUCUGCAGCCGCCCUGCCUUCCCUCUGCGCGUCUGAGCCGAGUCCCCGGCGCCCAGGGGCGGGGCGGCGGGGUGGGGACACUCAUGGACCCCCCAGCGAGGACCUGCUGGGUGCGACUACAUGGUCACCCGAAGGACCCUGAGAGAGGGGCAGCUGUAGGGGGUCCUUGAAGAGGGUCUGACUGCGGGGUUUGUGAGCGUCAGCGCGGGGGAGGCUUGGGCCUGGAAAGAUGGGGGAGAUCUGGCCGAUAGAGACGUGAGUGCCCCAGAAAGGGGGGCCGAGGUGGUGGAGGCGGGCGCGCGGCUAGCUGGGGUCCAGGACAGGAGGGGCGGGAGGCAGCCGGGAAGGCCUCAGGCAGGGCCAGCGAGCAGCACCUCCUGCAGCCUGCCAAGUGCAGGUACGAGGCCACCCCUGCCCUCACCUAUGUGUGACGCGUCGAGGUAACCUUUCUGAGCGUUGACUUGUCCACAUAUGCCAGUGGGGCAAUCUCUGAGGGUGAUGAACAUGUGUAACAUAUGGGAAGCUGUAUAGUGGCCUUCCCAGCGUGGCUGCUUCAUAAACUUAGUCCCUUUCCCUCCUGGAGGAAGGAAGUCAACCCAGAGGCUUCUCACUAAUGGGCACUUUCCUAGCACAGGUAAGCGUCAAAUGGAAUCAAACAGAAGAGGCAUCUCAGAGUUCAACAGAACAGGUGCCUGGCCUAGCUGGCCUCCGUUUGGGGGAUGAAUAAGAAUCCCCUUACAGGCCAGGUGCGGUGGGUGGCUCACGCCUGUAAUCCCAACAUUUUGGGAGGCCGAGGCGGAGGGAUCACGAGCUCAGAAGUUUGAGACCAGCCUAAACAACAUGGUGAAACCCCGUCUCUGCUAAACAUACAAAAAUUAGCAGGACUGGUGGUGCACGCCUGUAAUUCCAGCUACUUGGGAGGCUGAGGCAGGAGAAUCGCUUGAACCCAGGAGGCGGCGGUUGCAGUGAGCCGAGAUCCUGCCACUGCACUCCAGCCUGGGUGACAAAGCGAGACUCCAUCUCAAAAAAAAAAAAAAAAAAUACCCUUACAGAUUGCAUCUGCAUUAAGACUUAAGGUCUCAACUUGUUGAUUCUUUGCUAGGGAUUCUUAUCACAAUACAAAGAAUUUACUGCCAUUGAUUGCAUCCGAAUGGACAGACACACACAGAUGCACAUUUCAUGGGAGUGUUUCUCUCAUAAGCAGAGAGAACCCUUCUCAGCCUGAAUUCCUUGACUUGCAAGUCUGUGUGGGAUUCAGGAUUACAGAUUUAAUGACCGAAACAUAAUAGGGUCUGAGAGGCGGGAUCUACAGCAGAGCUGUGGGCAAAACUGCUGGAACCAGGCAGGUCCUACCUCCACGACACAGCAUAGAGGGUGACGUGUCUGAGGGCACACAGGCUCUGGUUAGGCUUUGUGGAAUUCUGACCUCAAUGAGUCACUGAAUUGUUGAGAUUGCCCUGGUAAGUCAGAUCUUGAUUCAGUUUCUCCAUGGGUAAAUUGGGAGCAAAUAUACUGGCUGUUUAACUUCCCUUAGGGUAGGUGUGGUCUUAAAAUAGCUUCUCCAAGUUGAGGCAGUUGGUGGGUGUGACUGUCAUUUCUGUGGGAUGGAGGAGUUGCAGCCUUCCCGUGAGAUCAGUGCCCUGGCAUGGCUGAAGUGACAUGGAGAGGCCAGGAGGCAGCCUGGCAGGAAGGGUGGCAUCCCCCAAAGGGAGGGAAGAGGGAAGCUGGAGAGGUGUGGCCGACCCUUCCCAGAGAGACUUCAUGACACUGGCAUUCCCCAGGGGCAGUGUGUGGCUCUGUGAAUGUUCCAGACAUUAGCCAGGGCAGUUGAAGCCGCCCUUUAUGCCAUACGUGGAACUGUGCUUUAGGAAGUGGCUUAGUUGGUGGAAUAAUCAUUGCUGAACCACAAUGCAACCACAAAUGCCAGCAAGUGUGCACCUUCUUUCCUGGUGAGUGCAAUAGUCAGCCACAUCCUUCUGGACCAGCCCGGCCUUGUUUCCUAACUGGGUGGGCCCUGCUUUGAUGACAGGUGCAUUCCUAGAGGUACUGUCUUCCUGCAGAGUUUUACGUAAUGCAACGCCAAGAACGCUUUGAUGGUGUGGGCUCUUACUGUCAUUGAAACAUCCCAACGAACUCUCAGGGCAGCAUUGAGUGAGAGCAAUGGCUUGGGAGACCCUUCGUCAUCUGGUUGGGCUGGUGUGUUUGCUGCCCUUGGAAAUUCUCUCAGCAUUUCCGCUGUUUGUCUCCUCAGCAAGCUUAUUUAUGUCUUUAUACAUACACUCAGGGGACCUAAAAAUAAUGUUUCUCAUUUCAAUCAAUCUUCCUCAUCCUCAACAUCUCGUUCAAGCCACACCUCUAUCUUCCGUCCUCCCCGACAGCUUCAGGAUUUUUCUCUGAGCUCAUAGCAUUCAGAGUCAUUUCACACACAUAAUGGUCUUGAGUUGCCUGUCAUUUUUAGGUUCUGAGUCUUUUUUUUUUUUCUUUUUUAGGCAGGGUGCUGUUCUGUUGAGCAUGCUAGAGUGCAAUGGUGUAAUCAAUCAUAGCUAGCUGCAGCUUCAAACUCCUGGGUCCAAG